ensembl:lncRNA
UUUGUUAAUUCAAAUUUCUCUAGCAUGAACUAGAGUUUGAGGUGUGGUUUGUGUGUUCUCUGGUGCAACAAACUUGGGUGAGGAAAAGAGGUAAUGAACUUGAAAAAAUGAUCUCAUGCUUACUGGGCGAGUCACACUUCUUUUUCUUCUGCUUUGCAAAUUGGUUUGUUUAGUGACCAAUUGUUUUUAGAACUUUUCAAUGUGUCUGGAAACAUCAACACUAUGGGUAUGAUUAAUUUUUAUAAGAAAACAAACUGAAUGAAAGCACAAGAAAGAAAAAACAGGAAAUAUAAUUCUAGUUUUUUAAAAAUCUGCACUCUUUAAAGCAAAGGAACUCCCAGGGUGUUGAGCAAUUUGAGCAAAUCACCAUCGUACCAGGCCACAGGGCAGUUUUCCCACAGGGCGGGGUGCCUAGGGGCUAUUCCUUUACAUGGAAAAUAUUUCUAGGUGAGUUGCGUACUUUCAGUCUGGGGCGUUCCAUCUCUAACGUGGGCAGUUGCUGCUCUGCCCUCUGCCUUCCACCACUUUCCACUUGUUAGAUUUAUCUCAUCCCAUUGGUUUCCUUCCCACCCCUGCCAGAUAAAUAAUCCAAUAUAUGUGAGGGAGGCAUUGUUUUAGAAUAAUGUGGGGACGGUUCAGAAGACCACAUAUUUAAAACAGCUUCUACAAACUGUGGGCUAAAAAAGAAGGCAGGAAGGAGGACACAUCAUAUCAUUAGAAGUCAGUCUAACCACAGAGACAGACCCAAACCCCCAAAUCAUAAGUUAUGAGGUUUGUCUUUUUAGGUUCUACCCUCUCCUUGUGUCUCUUUCCUUCUCAUGGUGUCUUCCCUCACCCUUUGAAAAUUAAAUAAAAGAAGGGAGCUGAUAAAUGAGGCAUUGAUAUGGAUGGCUCAUGAAACUCAACACGCCUCUUUUAUAUGAGCUUGUAUUUUAAUCAGGAACGAAGGAGUGAGUCUCAAGUUGUGGCAUUCCGAAGUUAGGGUAAACGGUGAGGAAGCCUUUGAAUGAAGGAAGAGGAUAGAAGGCUUUCUCCCUGCCAGCUUUGUUUAUGUGGCUCCCUUUCUGGCUUACCUUGUAGUGAGUCUCAUGGAUAGGCUCACGGGUGGGAGGCCAAGAGUUUCUCUUAAUUUAAAGAGACAAAAAGGGGAAGUGGAUCUCCCUACCUUAAAAAGAAUAAUGAUUGGUGACAAACCCAAUAGAAGGCUGGGUUAAGAGUUAUGAAACCUGGACUUGAAUCUUAACUCUUUUAAUAACACAGCAUGAUCGUGAACAAGUCGCUUCCCCUCUAUGAGCCUUAAAUUCCUCACCUGUACAAAGCCUCCAAGUUUGCAGCCAGAACUGAUGUAUCAUGCUAUGAACAGGCACCUGGCCAAUAACUUUCCUAGGAUAAAUGACACUUUAAUUUCUCUCAAAUUACAUAUCUUCUAAGACAAACAAAAACUUCCAAAAGUGUAGUCAUUGACUUCUAAGUGUGACACCCAUCAAUUAAUUUAAAAGUUUUUAAUUUGCUUUUUAAUGCAAUUCUUUGUCAAAUUGGUUUUUUGAUAGCAAUCCAUUUUUUGUGGGUUCAGAAUAUCUUAUUAAACAAACUUGGGUGAAGAAAAGACGUAACAACAUACCAGACUAUAUGGCUGUGACAGAGGCUAGUAUGGAAGAAAAGCCAUGAACACAUAUCCACAAUGGUUUGAGCUUCCCUGGAGAGCUAGUUGCUAAAGGCAGAGAGAGGGAUAUAGGGAAGGAAGGAUAAUUCUGGGAAGUUGAGGAGAGAAGAGGUUUUUCAGUUGGGCUUCGGAAGAUGGUAAAGAGUUCUAUAAGCAGAAAUGGAAGAAGGGAUUCCAAAGACAGGGACACCCUAAGCAUAGCAUGGUGGCAUGACCAGGACACCAAGGGGGGUGGGCAGUGAAAAAUGGCAGGCAGGCCAUUUGGAACCUGGAUGAGUACUGCCUUGAAUACAGGCUGAGGAGUUGUACUUUAUCUCUUAGGUGGUCCAACCACUCUUCCACUGGCUGAAUGGAGAAUAAAAUAGUUGACUCUGGCCAAAUACUAUAAACUGGUCUUUCACAAUGGAACAGGAGCAAAUCUGGAUUCAAAGAAACUGGUCAGCAACAGAGAGUGGGUGGACAAGUGAUGCACCUGGCAAUAGGAAGUAAGAAGGAGCUGGUACUGGGCUCGUGAGUGUAGAGGGAAUG